GUCGCCAUGGUCAAGCGGUCAAGACGCAGCCCUCUCACGGCUGAAUCCGGGGUUCGAUUCCCCGUGGCGAUACCA
rnacentral:tRNA from 1 species